rnacentral:lncRNA from 1 species
GAACACUUGACACACGCAAUACUCCUGUUAAACACCAAGAAGAUUAUCCCUCACGAUGCUGAAGACUUUGGUAGUCUUGUGCUCGAUUUUCUUCGUGUUAAUCAAGGGGUUUCCACAUUCGAGCAGUGAUGACAAAUGUACACCGGCCAAUCCAUNAGAAGGAGAAGCAUGUGGAGAGGAAGGAAUAAGUGAGAAUGAUUGCAAGGCAAAAGGAUGCUGCUUCCUUCCCGAGCCUCUCCCUGGCGUUUCACGUUGUUUCACAAAACGUGUUUCUUGUGAUGUAUCCAUACUGAACAGAAAAGAAUGUGCACCGGAUUCAGUAAGCAAGNAAUACUGUGAAAACCAAGGAUGUUGCUAUGAAAAGCUUGGAGAAGGUGUUCCAACAUGCCACAAAAAAGACUAAAUUAAGAGAUGAUUCAAAAGUCAUAAAUAAAAUUGUGGGCAAUGCAAAGGUUAAAUUGUAGCAUAACAAAAUUUGUUGUCGAUUUUAAAGUUGUCAAUAAAAUGCAAAAUCUUA